CCAGCAAUGCCAACAAUUGAUAUAACAUCAUAUGGUUGCCUGGACUUUUCAUUUGUCUUCAUAAGUAAAUUCUUUAAAUGUUUACCUUCAGUAACUCGUCCGAAAAACUUUGUGUCCCCCAGCAUAGAGGUUGUUGUGCGCCACUGAACUGGUUGCUCUGGUGUCCUGUUCUCUAGCUUCAGUAACUCCAACAGAGUUUUCAUCCGAUUAUCAAUCUCAUUAAAUAUAUUCACUACAACAGCUAACUUAGUGAGGUCUUCAUCUGAGAAAAGGAAGCGCUUGAGAGCAAGAAUGGAGCGUUUUACUGUUGAGUCACUGCUAAUGAUGCUGGAGGCAGUACCGAGGGUGGUUAUGGAGGAUGAUGAAGAGGAACACGAUGCAUAAGAAUCAGCUAUGGAAGAUGAAAUUGAGCUAGUGGUCACCUUGCCCAUGACUUCAACUUGAUUGGUCACGUUGUCCAUGACUUCAGCUUGAGUGGUCGCCUUGUCCAUAACUUCAGCUUGUGCUUCUAGAACUCGGUAAUCAAAUAAAUCCAGAACAUCUUCAGCCUGGACUUGCUCUCUCUGUGGUUUUGCCGCUUAAUCAUGAUGAAGCUGCUCCAUGCGUGUAAUCAGCAUUGACCAAUCUCAUUAUUGUGGAUGCAGAAUUGCAGAUCCCUCUAGACCAAUGACAGCUCGAUGAGGAAAUUACUUGGAACAUCCUAAAUAAUUGCAGGUAUUGUCUUCUGUACCUAGAACUCUAGAAGGGCCAUUCAUGACGCAAGAUUCUCCAUUUUUCUUGUUAUUUACUGCUUAGUGUAUUAACAACACAAGUAGAAGCAAAACGGUGUCUUGCAUCUUCUUGUUUAUUGUUUCAUGUCGUUUUCCAGGACCUUCCAUUUCUCUGCGUCGUUUUUCCUCUUAAAUACCAUGAAACUGCUCACAUAUAUCUUUGCUCCUCACCUGUCCUUU